AUUGAACGCUGGCGGCAGGCCUAAUACAUGCAAGUCGAACGAGUGGCGGACGGGUGAGUAAUGUCUUGGAAAUUGCUUGAUGGAGGGGGAUAACUUCUGGAAACGGUAGCUAAUACCGCAUACCAUCGGAUGUGCCCAGAUGGGAUUCGCUAGUAGGUGGGGUAAAGGCUCACCUAGGCGACGAUCCCUAGCGGGUCUGAGAGGAUGACCGUCCACACUGGAACUGGAACACGGUCCAGAUUCCUACGGGAGGCAGCAGUAGGGAAUAUUCCACAAUGGGCGCAAGCAUGAUGCAGCAAUGCCGCGUGUAUGAAGAAGGCCUUCGGGUUGUAAAGUACUUUCAGCGAGGAGGCGUUACCCGCAGAAGAAGCACCGGCUAACUCCGUGCCAGCAGGCGCGGUAAUUC
rnacentral:rRNA from 1 species